rnacentral:tRNA from 1 species
ACACUAAUAGUAUAGUAUAAAAGUAUUUUGUCUUUCCAAGUCAAGGGGCCUGUUUAGGUUAGUGUA